rnacentral:rRNA from 1 species
ACUCCUACGGGAGGCAGCAGUGGGGAAUCAUGGUCAAUGGGCGAAAGCCUGAACCUGCGAUGCCGCGUGAGUGAUGAAGGUCGUAAGAUCGUAAAACUCUUUUCAGGGAACUUAAAGCUCCGGCUCUAACAGAGCCUGGAGUCUGACUAUCCCUGGAAUAAGCCCCAGCCAACUACGUGCCAGCAGCUGCGGUAAUACGUAGGGGGCGAGCGUUAUUCGGAAUUACUGGGUGUAAAGGGUAUGUAGGCGGCCUCACAAGUCGCGUGUAAAAGUCCAGCGCUCAACGCUGGGUUGGCACGUGAUACUGUCAGGCUUGAGGACUGGAGAGGUGAGCGGAAUUCCCGGUGUAGUGGUAAAAUACGUAGAUAUCGGGAGGAACACCAGCGGCGUAGGCGGCUCACUAGACAGUUUCUGACGCUAAGAUACGAAAGCGUGGGGAGCAAACAGGAUUAGAUACCCUGGUAGUCCACGCCCUAAACGAUGGAUACUUGGUGUUGGGGGGUUACCUUCAGUGCCGGAGCUAACGCGUUAAGUAUCCCACCUGGGGACUACGGCCGCAAGGCUAAAACUCAAAGGAAUUGACGGGG